rnacentral:rRNA from 1 species
AUACGGAGGAUGCAAGCGUUAUCCGGAUUUAUUGGGUUUAAAGGGUGCGCAGGCGGGAAAAUAAGUCAGUGGUGAAAUCCUGCAGCUUAACUGUAGAAUUGCCGUUGAUACUGUUUUUCUUGAGUGUGGUCAAGGAAGGCGGAAUGUGUAAUGUAGCGGUGAAAUGCUUAGAUAUUACACAGAACACCAAUUGCGAAGGCAGCUUUCUGGGCCGUAACUGACGUUCAUGCACGAAAGCGUGGGGAUCGAACAGGAUUAGAUACCCUGGUAGUCCACGCCGUAAACGAUGAUCACUCGCUGUUGGCGAUAUACAGUCAGCGGCAAAGCAAAAGCAUUAAGUGAUCCACCUGGGGAGUACGGCCGCAAGGCUGAA